AUUCUUCUCUCUUCACAGGACCAGGUGUGGCGUGCUCACCAGACUGGUUUCUCCCAGGUAUGAAGGGCGCCACAGACGCGUUGCCAUGAGGUCAGCUGUUUGCACUUGCCAGGCGCUUCCAUCACCGUCUCGAAUAGGCCUCUGUGCUCACGGAGCCUGGAGGAUGUUUGCCUGAAGGAGGGCCUUGGUACCGCAUCCUUGCCACCAGACAGGUCCAGAGGCUGUGCACCGUUUGUUAGGUUGGCGGUCAGGGGGACAGCAGGUGCCAGUGCCUCUGCCACGUGCCUGGUGCUCUGAGGCCAAGUUUGGGGGCCGCCUUCCUGGAGUUCCUGAGACACCACGACCCGGGCCCUUCCUUAGA